GAGCAUAGCCAUUUCUAGUCUCGCUAAGUACGUGCCGGAGUUCGUUCCUUGGUACUUACUCUCGCCUUUUCUUUUUCUCUUCUGUUCCCUCCCUUUUGUCGGCAACCGAUGGCCCGACUUCGACAGGUACAAGAUGACGACGUUAGCAAGGUUACCCUUCCGGCUUGGCCUGGGCAGGGUUAUGGACGCCACUGGUUAUCUUCAGGACUCUUAGUCCAAUUUGUAUCUUGUCCGUACUCGGACGUAUUCGAUCUUCUGUACGAUUUGGAUCUUUGUAUUGUAUAUUUGUAUCUUGACUCAUUGGAGUCGUUGUUGUAAUAUAUGUAUCUUGUGGGCUCUA